UACGAAGGGGGCUAGCGUUAUUCGGAAUCACUGGGCGUAAAGGGCGCGUAGGUGGUUGGGUCAGUCUGGUGUGAAAACGCUACCGCUCAACGGAGCGACUGCGCCGGAUACUGCUCAACUUGAGUACGACAGAGGUCAGUGGAAUGCCUGGUGUAGCGGUGGAAUGCUCAGAUAUCAGGCAGAACACCUGUGGCGAAGGCGACUGACUGGGUCGUUACUGACGCUGAGGCGCGAAAGCGUGGGGAGCAAACAGG
rnacentral:rRNA from 1 species